AGCAAAAGCAACUAAAACUGUAAAUUGUGAUGGCGGACAGUCAACUUUCUUUUCUAAUUUAACUUGCAAAAAAUGUGUGAUUUUGCAUUGUUAUAAAUAAAUUUGGGUGAAAAUAUCUAGUAGAAUGAAAGUGAAAUCGUUUUCAAUUCAAAAACCUGCAUACAAAAAAGUUAUCGUGUAGCUCUUCGAGAGAAAUAUGUUCAGGCGUACUAACAAUGAAUAGUUAACGUGGGAGUUACUGGGAGUGUAAAGACGACAAGGGCGUUGGCGAGGUCAAUGUCUACUACUGCAACGGUGUCUCCAGCCUGACUCAUGCUACUACAUACAAAAUGUAUCUAUUUAUGUAUGUACAUUCGUACAUACUAUGUAUGUAAUAAAUCGGAAGUGGCCUACAAUUGGAUACUAAAAUAUAUUCCGUUUCCGAACAAGCAGAGAUGGACAUGAAAUUUCGUGCGUCUAAUUCAAGGUUAUGUAGGAAAACUUAAAGUCCAAGACGAAAUUUCACAGCGGGCCGGAAAAUACUAUAUCGUUUUAGAGUAAAAAAUCUAGAGCAGAAUUUUUCACAGUUGAAUCCCACGACAUACUUACUGUGUUUUGUCCGGGACGUUCCAUUUUUCUGUCGCAAAGUAAAAGAGCCGUUAUUGUCGAAUUAAAGCAGACAGUCGGUUGAGAUAAAAUAGCUACCUGUUAGAAUUAAGUAUGCGCAAGCUAAUACAUAAUUCAAGGCAAUUACUG